rnacentral:snRNA from 1 species
GGAUAUGAGGGUGAUCUGACUUGACAGUGUCUCCUUUCUCCCUUAUUCUUCCAUGUGUGUCCCUCCCGAAGGUGCCCAUUCACUGUUUUGAAGACUAAAGGAGGAUUGGACAAGUACCUGUGCUCCACUGUUAGAGCCUCCAAACAAACUCUCAAGAAGAAAACCAGAUGAGAACAGAUGGCCAGAUAGUUUAUUGUUCAUCACUCUAAAUAGUAGACACAAUUCAAAUUAUUCU